AGCUCGACACGUCCUUCACGACUCGCCCCUCCUGCUCAACACCAACUGUUACUACGGCGGCCUGGCCGACGCCCGGAGGGCGUUCGAUGGAAUGCCGCACGGGGGCGCGGUCGGCGUCGCCCACACGGCUCUGAGCCUGUUUGCGCUGAUGGUCACAGGAAGGAGCGUCAGGCCUGGAGUUUACGAGGCAGGUGCAUGGUGAUGUGCUAAAUCUGCUGCAGGAGAUUGCAUGACCCAUGUGUUUGUUCCUCCACGAUCGAGGCUUACAUGGUUACAUGAGCCGUGGGGACUAGGGAGGCGGAUGUUUCUUGCCUUGGCGGUGCCAACUGUGACGUCAUGGAAAGUGAUGCUGUUGGGAGUUCACUGCUUGAUUGAAACACAGCAUGGUCAUGGUCACGAUGGAAAGGGACGGCAGGCAUGGUCAUGCUCAUUUUCAAGAAGCAUUCAUAGUCAUGCGGGAAAGGGACGGUGAGUAUGAUUGUACUCAUUUUUAAGAAGCAUGUGGAGUCCCGUAAUGCGAUAUGCAAGCAUUGAUUUGCCUACUGUUCUGAAGACCAAAUGGUUGCAUGAAACUCAGGUUGUUCAUGAAUCAUGAUUCAAGCCUUGGUGAUAAAGAGAGGUGCUGGAGUGAUGCUCUUGUGAAUACUCGCUUUGAUGUGAAAGUUGGUGCUGUUCUAGGUGCAGUUCUCUUGAUCUUAUGCAGACUGACAUUUUUCUUGGGGCGCACUUAUCUCUGGAUUGUAUAUCUCUCUUUGAUUGUAUCUCUAGUUUGAAGAGUUUCAAGCAGAUGCAUCCAUAUGAAGGAAAAUUACAGGAGCUUGCAGUACACAUGGAAACUGCCAGGUCAUGGGAGUAAAGAAGGAACCAGGGUUUAGCCGGAUUGAAAAAUGGUUGUACAUGUGUUCUUGGUGCAAAGCGGGUGCUCAAAAUAUUAAAUUUUCUUCAUGUGUUUCCACCUGUUCAGCUGUUCAUUUUAUUCCUGCAAUGCAAAAUGCUUCUGGUAGGCUCUUAUGGUGUCCGCACAGACAAGGUCAGAUUAGAAGCAAAUUCAGCAUAUGGGUGGUUAUGUGUAAUGAUGAACAGAAACAGCAAAGACUGAGGACUUCUAUCAUUGGAGGCAUACGGAAAUAAUCAGGCACUCAUGCCUGUAGUUGCAAACUAAGAAUCGAUCAUUGAUCAGUGUGGCACACGGAGGGCUUGAUGGUGGCCUACUUCAGUUGAUGCUGGUUUGCUCAUCUCACAUUUGCUGCAAUCAAGUGAGGACACUUGUGCAGAUGAGUUUCCACAGUGGAUAGUUCUCCUUUGGCAUGACAUAGUCGCCCUCACUCAGCUUAAGGGAGGGGCAGUAAUCCCCCUUCCCGUCACCGAUAUAGAUGAAAUGCUGGUUCUUGGUGUCGGCCAUCGACUGGAUCUUCU